rnacentral:lncRNA from 1 species
ACCAGCCCCAGAGUCCGUGUUUUAUACCUUAAGUUCCUUUAUUUAUAAAGUGAGAACAACACUCUCUUUCUCAGUUGGCAGCCCAGUUCCUAGCUCGCCCUCUGGCUCCAGGGGAGGCGUACGUGCUGCGGCAUUUUCUUGGUAGGACUGUGUAUUUAUGCGGUUUGAUGAGUGUUCAGAUGACAGGGAAAUGUCACACUGUCGUGGAGUGACUUCAUGGCAUGUGAAUGUGGGCAUUAAGGCAGCUCUGGGAUUUUAUGCUGUCUUUCUUUCCUGUCAGGCCUUCUUCCUAGAGAGCCUAUCUACGUCUACGAAGCAAACAUAGAGGUAGAAGGAACGGUGACUGACAACCAGGCAAACUGUUACCAGGAUUCAGUGACCUUCGAUGAUGUGGCUGUGGAGUUCACCCCGGAUGAGUGGACUUUACU